AACGAACGCUGGCGGCAUGCCUAACACAUGCCAGUCGAACGAGACCUUCGGGUCUAGUGGCGCACGGGUGGGUAACGCGUGGGAACCUGCCCUUAGGUUCGGAAUAACUCCCCGAAAGGGGUGCUAAUACCGGAUAAUGUCUUCGGACCAAAGAUUUAUCGCCUUUGGAUGGGCCCGCGUUGGAUUAGCUAGUUGGUAGGGUAAAAGCCUACCAAGGCGACGAUCCAUAGCUGGUCUGAGAGGAUGAUCAGCCACACUGGGACUGAGACACGGCCCAGACUCCUACGGGAGGCAGCAGUGGGGAAUAUUGGACAAUGGGCGAAAGCCUGAUCCAGCAAUGCCGCGUGAGUGAUGAAGGCCUUAGGGUUGUAAAGCUCUUUUACCCGGGAUGAUAAUGACAGUACCGGGAGAAUAAGCUCCGGCUAACUCCGUG
rnacentral:rRNA from 1 species